GAGGGUAUAGCUCAGUGGAAGAGCACGUGCUUAGCAAGCACCAGGUCCUGGGUCCAUUCUGUGUACCUCCA
rnacentral:tRNA from 1 species